rnacentral:rRNA from 1 species
AGAGUUUGAUCCUGGCUCAGGACGAACGCUGGCGGCGUGCCUAACACAUGCAAGUCGAGCGGAGAACUUCGGUUCUCAGCGGCGGACGGGUGAGUAACACGUGGGUAACCUGCCUUGUAGAGGGGGAUAGCCUUCCGAAAGGAAGAUUAAUACCGCAUAAUAUUAUGCUUUCGCAUGAGAGUAUAAUCAAAGGAGCAAUCCGCUACAAGAUGGACCCGCGGCGCAUUAGCUAGUUGGUGAGGUAACGGCUCACCAAGGCGACGAUGCGUAGCCGGCCUGAGAGGGUGAACGGCCACAUUGGAACUGAGACACGGUCCAGACUCCUACGGGAGGCAGCAGUGGGGAAUAUUGCACAAUGGGCGAAAGCCUGAUGCAGCAACGCCGCGUGAGUGAUGAAGGCCCUCGGGUUGUAAAGCUCUGUCUUCUGGGACGAUAAUGACGGUACCAGAGGAGGAAGCCACGGCUAACUACGUGCCAGCAGCCGCGGUAAUACGUAGGUGGCAAGCGUUGUCCGGAUUUACUGGGCGUAAAGGAUGCGUAGGCGGAUGCUUAAGUCAGAUGUGAAAAUCCCGAGCUUAACUUGGGAACUGCAUUUGAAACUGGGUAUCUAGAGUGCGGGAGAGGAGAGUGGAAUUCCUAGUGUAGUGGUGAAAUGUGUAGAGAUUAGGAAGAACACCAGUGGCGAAGGCGACUCUCUGGACCGUAACUGACGCUGAGGCAUGAAAGCGUGGGGAGCAAACAGGAUUAGAUACCCUGGUAGUCCACGCCGUAAACUAUGAAUACUAGGUGUGGGAGUUGUCAUGACUUCCGUGCCGCAGUUAACACAAUAAGUAUUCCGCCUGGGGAGUACGGGUCGCAAGAUUAAAACUCAAAGGAAUUUGACGGAAUCAUGAAUUGACGGAAUCGU